rnacentral:rRNA from 1 species
AGAAGGUAAUAAUCCUGUAGUCAAAAUAAUAAUUCUUUAGGUAUGAUCCAGAGUACCACGGGACACGUGAAACCCUGUGGGAAGCAGGAGGGACCACCCUCCAAGGCUAAAUACUACCUAGUGACCGAUAGCGUAUAGUACCGUGAGGGAAAGGUGAAAAGAACCCCGGGAGGGGAGUGAAAUAGAACCUGAAACCCUGCACUUACAAGCUGUGGAAGCACAUUUCUUGUGUGACCGCGUACUUUUUGUAGAACGGGCCAACGAGUUACGUUAAGUAGCAAGGUUAAGCACUUAAGGUGUGGAGCCGUAGCGAAAGCGAGUUUUAACUGAGCGUUCAGUUACUUGACGUAGACCCGAAACCGGGCGACCUACCCAUGAGCAGGAUGAAGCGAAAGUAAAAUUUCGUGGAGGUCCGAACCCACGAGCGUUGAAAAGCUCGGGGAUGACUUGUGGGUAGCGGUGAAAUUCCAAUCGAGCCCGGAGAUAGCUGGUUCUCCCCGAAAUAGCUUUAGGGCUAGCCUCAAGGUGAGAGAUACGGAGGUAGAGCACUGAAUGUCCUAGGGGGUAUUGCACCUACCGAAGACUAUCAAACUCCGAAUGCCGUCAUCUUAUACUUGGGAGUCAGACUGUGGGUGAUAAGAUUCAUAGUCGAAAGGGCAACAGCCCAGAUCGUCAGCUAAGGUCCCUAAAUGUAAGUUAAGUGGUAAAGGAUGUGGGAUUGCACAGACAACCAGGAUGUUGGCUUAGAAGCAGCCACUCAUUCAAAGAGUGCGUAAUAGCUCACUGGUCGAGUGAUCCUGCGCCGAAGAUUUCCGGGGCUAAAACUUACUACCGAAGCUACGGCAUCAGUAAUGAUGGGUAGGGGAGCUUCCCAUACGGGUUGAAGCAUGACCGUAAGGACAUGUGGACAGUAUGGGAGUGAGAAUGUUGGCAUGAGUAGCGAGAUGUGGGUGAGAAUCCCACAGGCCGUAAACCCAAGGUUUCCAGGGGAAGGUUCGUCCGCCCUGGGUUAGUCGGGACCUAAGCUGAGGCCGAAAGGCGUAGGUGAUGGACAACAGGUUGAUAUUCCUGUAC